GACGAACGCUGGUGGCGUGCUUAACACAUGCAAGUCGAACGGAAAGGCCCUGCUUGCAGGGUACUCGAGUGGCGAACGGGUGAGUAACACGUGGGUGAUCUGCCCUGCACUUCGGGAUAAGCCUGGGAAACUGGGUCUAAUACCGGAUAGGAGCCAUUUUUAGUGUGAUGGUUGGAAAGUUUUUUUCGGUGUAGGAUGAGCUCGCGGCCUAUCAGCUUGUUGGUGGGGUAAUGGCCUACCAAGGCGGCGACGGGUAGCCGGCCUGAGAGGGUGGACGGCCACAUUGGGACUGAGAUACGGCCCAGACUCCUACGGGAGGCAGCAGUGGGGAAUAUUGCACAAUGGGCGCAAGCCUGAUGCAGCGACGCCGCGUGGGGGAUGACGGCCUUCGGGUUGUAAACUCCUUUCGCUAGGGACGAAGCUUUUUGUGACGGUACCUAGAUAAGAAGCACCGGCUAACUACGUG
rnacentral:rRNA from 1 species